rnacentral:rRNA from 1 species
CCUACGGGAGGCAGCAGUAGGGAAUCUUCCACAAUGGGCGAAAGCCUGAUGGAGCAACGCCGCGUGGGUGAAGAAGGUCUUCGGAUCGUAAAACCCUGUUGUUAGAGAAGAAAGUGCGUGAGAGUAACUGUUCACGUUUCUACGUUAUCUAACCAGAAAGCCACGGCUAACUACGUGCCAGCAGCCGCGGUAAUACGUAGGUGGCAAGCGUUAUCCGGAUUUAUUUGGCGUAAAGGGAACGCAGGCGGUCUUUUAAGUCUGAUGUGAAAGCCGUCGGCUUAACCGGAGUAGUGCAUUGGAAACUGGGAGACUUGAGUGCAGAAGAGGAGAGUGGAAUUCCAUGUGUAGCGGUGAAAUGCGUAGAUAUAUGGAAGAACACCAGUGGCGAAAGCGGCUCUCUGGUCUGUCACUGACGCUGAGGUUCGAAAGCGUGGGUAGCAAACAGGAUUAGAUACCCGUGUAGUC